AAAUAUACUUUAUUGUAUUUCAAGUAUAUUUAACUUUGCAAUAGUACAUUACAAAUAUACUUACAAAGGAAUGUACUUUCUUUAAACAUAUUUAAAGUAUGCUUACAACAUAUUUGCGCGUAUUUUUUACAAUUAAACUUUAAACAUACUUCAAAAUAAUUAUACUUUAGUAUAUUUUCUAAAAGUAUACUUUAGAAAAAUAUACUUAAAGUUAAAGUUUUGUGCAAUUUUUAAAGUAUACUAAAUGUAAACUUAUUUUAAAAUGUAUUUUAGGUAUACUUUAUCGGUAUGCUUAAAGUUAUCAUUAUAAUAAUGCACUGACAGUAUAUUUCUAAAAUACAUUAUUUAGUAUUCUUUAGAAACAGUAUAUUUUAAGCACAUUUUGAAAGUAUAUGGGGUGUACAAGUAUAUUAUUUUAUGGAGAAAUAACGUGGGCUUAAAAUUACGAGAGAGCAGUAUGUUCUGUUACAUUUUAUAUUGUAGAUGUAUACAUUUGUAAUAUACUAUUAACAUAAUAAGGUACACUUUAACUUCACUAUAGUCAAGCAUUGGAUAAACCAAUGAACUGUGUUUUACCACAAAAUGACCAUGGUUUUGCUAAUAAUAAUCAAUACACCAAAAAAAAAAAACAUGGUUACUAAACUUUUACCACAAAAAAACAUUCAUUUUCGUAAGGGGAAUAUGAGUGUUUGUUUUUUUGUAGUUUUUGAGUCAAUUGCAUACCGCUUUUAGCUGUACACAUUAAUUAACUUAAACAGUUUUCGUAAAUGCAUUUCAGAGAAAAGUGAAUUCUGAGAUUUGAAUAAUGCAUCUGACGUGUGGGAUGACGUCACGACGCACGUAUUUUGAUUUUUACCAGUCGCUCAAGACAGACGGAUUCAGUCCCAAGAAGCUAAAGUUUUUCAAAGACAUUUGUAGGGAGGACUUUGCAGCUAAUGAUUUCCUUAGGCUGAACCAAAACCUGCCAGACUAAAGUUGAUUUGGGAGAGAAAGACGUUGUAAACUUAAUCAUCUUGACAUUCUUCAAUGAGUAAUUGUUCAAUUUUUAGGCAAAUACUGUACACUUUGAAUGCUGUGAAUAAAACUAUAUUUUAAAUAUAUUUAAAA